CAAUUAGCAGGUGUGCUAUUUCUUUUGCCCCAGAAAUAACUACAUGCUCUGUUCUGGAGUGGUACAGGACUAGGAUCUGUGAACUGUUCAAGAGCUGCUCUUCUUCCCUGCUGCCCCUCAUCCUUGCACUUUGUCCUUAUUAGCAUGUGCAGCAUCGGUGCCUUUUUCCUCAGUAUUGAUCUUUUGAACCUAGUUUAUUUACUGACUUCUCGGUCCUGCGGGCAGAUGCUCUGCCAGCAUAAGUUAAAAGUUCCCAUUGGCUUUGAAGUAGUAUUUACAGGGAAUUAAUACCAGAAACAAAACUAUUUGUUGUCACAUUUAAAGGGUGUGCGUACAAGAAGUAGACAUGCAGGGUUUUGUAACUGCAGCAAGCCCUGCCAAACCAGGGGAAUAAGAUUCCCUUGGCAAAGAACACCGGCUGUUAAGUUUUAAUCUAACAGAAUUUUGCCUUAGGAAUAUUCUGUUGCGCUUCUUUUGGUAGUACUUGAUUAUAGGAUGAAAAUAAAGUCAAAAGGUGGAAUUCGAGAUUGUAUCUGUUUUCUGCAGUACAGCAUGUUUUGGCCCUAUAGGUGGCCUUGAAAGAGUAAGUAAAUGGGACAAAGUUGAUUUAAAGAGCUGCUGCUCUGUUUUUGCCAAUCCUGUGUGCUGAAGCAAACCUGGAAGAAUUGGGGAGAUGGAGAGUUUUCAGCAUGUUCCCUGAACAUUAAAAGCAUAUUUUAGGUUUAGUUUUGAUGCAGCAAACAACAUAAAGACCCUUUUUUUUUUUCAUUCUUGAAGUUUUUUGGAGUCUGUGUCCCAUGCAAUAUGAUGGAUCCAGCAUGCAAGGUAUCGCUGACAACCUCACAUCCCGAAGAGUUGGUACAAAGGCUCACGUGGGUGCACAGGCUAAACAGUCUUCUGAAUGUUUUAUAAAAAGGCUACUAUUGUACUUUCUCCUGAAGCAUGCAGUUUCUACUUCCUGAGAAAUGAAUGAAGGGAAGGAAUAGUUCAUAGUCCUGUUUAUCGUAUAGAACUAUCACUCUUUCCCACCCAAACUGGUGCUUUUUUUUCAAUUUUACUUCACUGCUGAUUAUGACAGUGCAUUGGAGAUCAGACAAACUAAACCUUGUGUUCAGAAAUGACCUGUUUCAUUCUCAUUCUUUCAGUCUCAUUCACGUUAAACUAACCUGUAUUUGCACCCUUAAAUGCGUAGGACCACUUAAGUGACCAUUUAAAACAUUUUCUCACUUUUUCCUUCAUUUGUUUAGCAAGGGUGCCGAAAAGAAAAUAUCCCUGGGUGCGAAUCCUUGUUCUCACUCCUGUAUCUUGUUCUCCCCACACCACCAGUGGACUUUUUGUGGACUCUGCCUCCCGCUGGCCAGGUCUUUGCUGGAUGGCUACACUGAGUGUAGGUGAGGACAGAAGCUAUGAAUCCUUCUGUAAUAGGAGCAAAGAUGAUUUAGGGACAAGAAAGCAGCUCCCAGGACCCCUGGCUGAUGGUUAGCUCACCCCACGUGCCCCGAUGGCAGUGACUGGGACCGAGGUGAGGAUGAGCACAGUGCAAGAAGCAGCCUGUGGGAAGGGGGCUCCCCUGGGACCGCGUGGGAAACUGACAGUGAGAUGUGAACAGCAGCCUGUGGGGCGAUUUAGAGAAAUAAAGGGACGUUGUGUAGGAUAACA
rnacentral:lncRNA from 1 species